rnacentral:rRNA from 1 species
GACGAACGCUGGCGGCGUGCUUAACACAUGCAAGUCGAACGGAAAGGCCCUGCUUUUGUGGGGUGCUCGAGUGGCGAACGGGUGAGUAACACGGGAGUAACCUGCCCUUGACUUUGGGAUAACGUCAGGAAACUGGGGCUAAUACCGGAUAGGAGCUCCUGCUGCAUGGUGGGGGUUGGAAAGUUUCGGCGGUUGGGGAUGGACUCGCGGCUUAUCAGCUUGUUGGUGGGGUAGUGGCUUACCAAGGCUUUGACGGGUAGCCGGCCUGAGAGGGUGACCGGCCACAUUGGGACUGAGAUACGGCCCAGACUCCUACGGGAGGCAGCAGUGGGGAAUAUUGCACAAUGGGCGGAAGCCUGAUGCAGCAACGCCGCGUGCGGGAUGACGGCCUUCGGGUUGUAAACCGCUUUCGCCUGUGACGAAGCGUGAGUGACGGUAAUGGGUAAAGAAGCACCGGCUAACUACGUG